GACCCCGUAGUAUAGCCUGGAUAGUACGCGAGCUUGCGGAGCUUGUGACCCGGGUUCAAAUCCCGGCGGGGUCA
rnacentral:tRNA from 1 species